rnacentral:rRNA from 1 species
GACGAACGCUGGCGGCGUGCUUAUCACAUGCAAGUCGAACGAUGAAGCCUUAGCUUGCUUUGGUGGAUUAGUGGCGAACGGGUGAGUAACACGUGAGCAACGUGCCCAGGACUCUGGAAUAACCGCGGGAAACCGUGGCUAAUACCGGAUAGGUGCCGAGGCCGCAUGGUCUUCGGUUGGAAAGUUUUUGCGGUUCUGGAUCGGCUCACGGCCUAUCAGCUUGUUGGUGGGGUAAUGGCCUACCAAGGCGACGACGGGUAGCCGGCCUGAGAGGGUGACCGGCCACACUGGGACUGAGACACGGCCCAGACUCCUACGGGAGGCAGCAGUGGGGAAUAUUGCACAAUGGGCGCAAGCCUGAUGCAGCAACGCCGCGUGGGGGAUGACGGCCUUCGGGUUGUAAACCUCUUUUAGUAGGGAAGAAGCGCAAGUGACGGUACCUGCAGAAAAAGCACCGGCUAACUACGUG